rnacentral:lncRNA from 13 species
AUGAGAGCACCAGCUGUUCCGGAAGACCGUGUGAUCACGCUCUCCAAAGCCGAUGUGAGUAAGACCUUUAAACAGGUCAACAUUCACAAGGCUGCAGGGCCAGAUGGAUUACCAGGAUGUGUACUGAGAGCAUGCGCUGACCAACUGGCAAGUGUCUUCACUGACAUUUUCAACCUCUCCCUCUCCGAGUCUAUAAUACCAUGUUUUAAGCAGACCACCAUUGUGCCUGUGCCCAAGAACACUAAGGUAACCUGCCUAAAUGACUACCGACCCGUAGCACUCAUUUCUGUAACCCUAGACACUCUCCAAUUUGCAUACCGCACCAACAGAUCCACAGAUGAUGCAAUCUCUAGUGCACUCCACACUGCCAUUUCCCACAUGGACAAAAGGAACACCUAUUUGAGAAUGCUAUUAAUUGACCACAGCUCAGCUUUCAACUCCAUAGUGACCUCAAAGCUCAUCACUAAGCUAAGGACCCAGGGACUAAACACCUCCCUCUGCAACUGGAUCCUUGACUUCUUGACAGGCCACCUUCAUGUAGUGAGGGUAGGUAACAACACAUCCGCCACGCUGAUCCUCAACACGGGGGCCCCUCAGAGGUGCGUGCUCAGUCCCCUCCUGUACUCCCUGUUCUUUCAUUACUACACGGCCAGACACAACUCCAGCACCAUCAUUCAAUUUGCCGAUGACAAAACAGUGGUAGGCCUGAUCACCGACAACAAUGAGACAGCCUAUAGGGAGGAGGUCAGAGACCUGGCCAUGUGGUGCCAGGACAACAACCUCUCCCUCAACAUGAUCAAGAUAAAGGAGAUUUUGGACAACAGGAAAAAGAGGACAGAACACACCCCCAUUCUCAUCGAAGGGGCUACAGUGGAGCAGGUUGAGAGCUUCAAAUUCCUUGGUGUCCACAUCACCAACAAACUAACAUGGUCCAAGCACACCAAGACAGCCGUGAAGAGGGCACAAGAAAACUUAUUCGACCUCAGGAGACUGAAAAUAUUUGGCAUGGGUCCUCAGAUCCUCAAAGGUUCUACAGCUGCACCGUCGAGGGCAUCCUGA